UCGAUAAUCCACGUAUACUCCCCCUUCUCUAGACCACAGCAUGUGUACUGCCGUUGUAAGCACACCUCUAAAAGAAUAAGUGUGCCACCAUGACUAAUUACAGCUCAUGUACAUCAGGUCAAAGUGCAGCCAAUAAGAAGGUGAUGAUGGGUUACAACCCUAAAAUAGAAUAUCAACUAAGACAUAAAAAAUCUUAUGAAAGUGGACUUGGCUGUAAUCAAUUCCAAGUUAAAGAAAUGAAUAUAACCUAAGACAUGCACACAUCGCCCGUCACUCUACCCUAAAGGCUAGAUAAGUCGUAACAAAGUAGGUGUAAUGGAAAUUGCGCCUGUCGAAGUAUAGCAUAUAUAAUGCUUUUUAUUUACACUAAAAAAAAAGUUAAACAACUUACUUCGCCCACAAAAAUAAUCUUAUAAUUUAAUAUAAAUAUAAACAACUAAAUAUUAGAAAUUAAAGUACAGAAAUGGAACAUAAAAUAAAUAAAAGUAAAUUUUAAUAAUUGUACCUUGUGCAUUAUGGUUUUACAAGAAAACAAUUAAAUAUAUAAAUCCCGAAUUCUAAGUGAGAUGUUAAACUGCUGUUUAGAACCCACUAAUAACUGUAGAAAAAGUUUUAAAAGACAGUCUGACAGAGGCUACAUACCAUCCGCACAAGAAUAUAGCUGGUUUUCAGUAAACAUUAUAUAUUAAAGCAUAUAAUAUAAUUAUAGUGUUAUAUUAUUGAGGAUAAGCCCAAUAAUCAAAGCAAUUAAAGUUUUAACCCUUCUCCCUUUAUAGGCCUAAAAUCAGCCAACCAAAGUACUUUAUCGUAAUAUACACAGAUAUAAUAAAUAAUAUAUUAAUGUUAAACAAAGCUGAAAUAGUGGAUUAAUACUUUUACCCACCCAUACUAUGUAAAAAUAAGUAUUAUAUAACUACUAAUAUACCACACCAAUAUAGACAACCUAUAAUAUAAUAAUAGUUAAUUAAGGAACUCGGCAAAUUAUUAUUUCGACUGUUUAACAAAAACAUUGUCUCAUGAAACAAAUAUGAGAUAAUA
rnacentral:rRNA from 1 species